rnacentral:rRNA from 1 species
GCUUUCGGGUGCGGCCCCGGUCCAAGUUCCCUUUGGAACAGGGCGUCCGCAGAAGGGUGAGAAUCCCGUACGCGGCCGAUGGCCAAGCCCAUGUGAAGCCCUUUCGACGAGUCGAGUUGUUUGGGAAUGCAGCUCUAAAUGGGUGGUAAAUUUCAUCUAAAGCUAAAUAUCUGCCGGAGACCGAUAGCGCACAAGUAGAGUGAUCGAAAGAUGAAAAGCACUUUGAAAAGAGAGUCAAACAGUACGUGAAAUUGUUGAAAGGGAAGCGCUUGCAACCAGACUCGUUCGCGGGUGCUCAGCCGUCCCUCGGGGCGGUGCACUCUCCCGCGUUUCGGGCCAGCAUCGGUUUCGGCGGUCGGAUAAAGGCCCCGGGAACGUAGCUCUCUUCGGGGAGUGUUAUAGCCCGGGGUGCAAUACGGCCAGCCGGGACCGAGGACCGCGCGUUCGCUAGGAUGCUGGCGUAAUGGUUGCCAGCGACCCGUCUUGAAACACGGACCAAGGAGUCGACCAAUCUGGCGAGUUUUAGGGCAUGAAACCCUGAAGCGCAAUGAAAGUGAACGUAGGUGGGAGCCCCCGGGUGCACCAUCGACCGAUCCUGAUGUCCUCGGAUGGAUUUGAGUAUGAGCCCGGUUGGUCGGACCCGAAAGUGAGUUUUUUUCCAGGACCUUCCCCGGGCAAUCUUGCUAACGAAUGCUUCAGGAUGGUGAACUAUGCGUGAAUAGGGUGAAGCCAGAGGAAACUCUGGGUGGAGGCUCGCAGCGGUUCUGACGUGCAAAUCGAUCGUCAAAUUUGCGCAUAGGGGCCGAAAGACUAGUAAGAAUUAUUUCGUUAUUAAAAAUUUACUCGCUAACGGUUUCAGAUCGAACUAUCU